ensembl:misc_RNA Metazoa_SRP Metazoan signal recognition particle RNA
GCCAGGUGUGGUGGCCCACACCUGUAAUCCCAGCACUUCAGGAGGCUGAGGCAGGUGGUUCACCUGAGGUUGGGAGUUCGAGACCAGCCUGACCAACAUGGAGAAACCCUGUCUCUA